rnacentral:rRNA from 1 species
CGCAAGGUGGAGUGGCUGACGGGUGAGUAACGCGUGGGAACAUACCCUUUCCUGCGGAAUACCUCCAUUUAAACUAGAAUUAAUACCGCAUACGCCCUACGGGGGAAAGAUUUAUCGGGGAAUGAUUGGCCCGCGUUGGAUUAGCUAGUUGGUGGGGUAAAGGCCUACCAAGGCGACGAUCCAUACCUGGUCUGAGAGGAUGAUCAACCACAUUGGGACUGAGACACAGGCCAAACUCCUACGGGAGGCAUCAGUGGGGAAUAUUGGACAAUGGGCGCGGGCCUGUUCCGAACAUGCCGCGUGAGUGAUGAAGGCCUUAGGGUUGUAAAGCUCUGUCACCGGAGAAGAUAAGGACGGUAUCCGGAGAAAAACCCCCGGCUAACUUGGUGGCGGCAGCCGCUGUAGUACGAAGGGGGCUAUCGUUGUUCGGAAUUACUGG